rnacentral:lncRNA from 1 species
ACUGCAACUUCUGGCACCCAGUUUCUGCUCUCCGAUGCUUACAUAUGGUUCUCGUUCUACUCGUAGCAAGCACUACGCAUAGGCAAAUAUACAAGCAAUAAAUAAAAGCAACUAAAAACAGUACACCACACAAGAUUACGCAAUGUACUAAAAGAGAACAAAUUAUUAUGGUGACGAGAACACAAGAAACACCGAGGCUACGAUAAAAAGAAACGCACCAGGGGACGGAGAAACUCACCGCGAAACCGACUAGAGGGUGCUAUCGGGCCGAAAAACGCGUGGAGAGGGCAUGCCGCGGCGGCGGGAAGCCCUGACUUCGGCGAGGUUCAGACUCGGCGAAAAACGGUGGCUAGGGUUGCAAAAGGGGAAGCUGCAGAGUGGCGUGAGCGCUUUAUAAGACUCGGUUUGACCCCUUUGGCAAGAAAAUCCCGCCGAUUGCGGGAUUGACUCGGCUGGUUUGGUGGGAGCUCGAGUCGGUCACGGCGUGAGGAGGGAGGGAAGGUGGGAGAAGAGGCUGACCUGUGGGACCCAGUGGUCAGCGGGUCAAGAGAGGAGGAGGAGAUCCGCGCGGGGGGGGGGGGGAAUCGACUGGGCCGCGCCCUGGGCCGUUGCCGUGUGGUGCGGGAGGGGAAUGCUGGGCCAGAUUCCAGGGAGAUGACCUCCCCUUUCCUUUUUUUCUUUUUUUUGUUUUCCAAAAGCUUUUCCAAACCAAUUUUUCAAAUAGGAUUUUAAUCAAAUAGAAUUAAAUCCAAAAGCAAACAAUACCAAAUAAAAUAUGCUUCAGAAUGAAUGCAUAAACAAGUUUCUAUCUCUAUGUUAAAUUUUAAAUUUCUUCAAAAUUUAUUUAUUUACUACAUUAAAUGCUCACAAAAAAUACUUAAAUAAAUCAAAUAAAUUCCUAUUAUUUGAAAUCUAAUUUUUUUGGGUGUUACAAGUGUCAUAAUAACAUCUCAGUUGUCAUCAUUGGACAACUUUUCUCUUUUCCUUGAGUAGGAUGCAGCAUUUUUGCAAAAGGUUGAUCGAUAAGUGUACAACAAAAGUUACAUGAGUAAUAAUGUUUUUAUUAACACAUAGUCAUUACAGGUUAACCUAAGACUCAACUUAUACAGAUCACCUUGGAUUUGAAGACAGUUCCUUUAUUGUUACUAAGCUUAGAGAACUGGGUUAAUAAAUUUGUUGGAACCAUUCUCCGAAAAAAGCACAUCAUAAUAAGUCCACCCGAUGUAGGU